GGCCUCGUGGCGAAAUGGCAUCGCGUUAGAUUUCGGCGAAAUGCAAAACAACGAAAUUCCAAAGUACUUGUACUCUAAAGAUUGUCGGUUCGAAUCCGGCCGAGGUCG